CCUACGGGCGGCAGCAGUGGGGAAUAUUGGACAAUGGGGGCAACCCUGAUCCAGCCAUGCCGCGUGUGUGAAGAAGGCCCUCGGGUUGUAAAGCACUUUCAGUGAGGAAGAACGCCUGGUGGUUAAUACCCAUCAGGAAAGACAUCACUCACAGAAGAAGCACCGGCUAACUCCGUGCCAGCAGCCGCGGUAAUACGGAGGGUGCGAGCGUUAAUCGGAAUUACUGGGCGUAAAGCGCGCGUAGGUGGCUUGAUAAGCCGGUUGUGAAAGCCCCGGGCUCAACCUGGGAACGGCAUCCGGAACUGUCAAGCUAGAGUGCAGGAGAGGAAGGUAGAAUUACCGGUGGAGCGGUGAAAUGCGUAGAGAUUGGGAGGAAUACCAGUUGCGAAGGCGGCAUUCUGGACUGACACUGAUACUGAGGUGCGAAAGCGUGGGUAGCAAACAGGAUUAGAUACCCGAGUAGUC
rnacentral:rRNA from 1 species